rnacentral:lncRNA from 1 species
GACCCUCGUUGCUUCUAGAUCCCAACUACAGGAGAAGUCUGCUUAGGCAGCUCAGUGGCUCUGCUUCUUCUCCUCCUCCAUCAUCUCACACGGGAGAAGUCACAGGGUUCCCUGCUAGCUCUACCUGGGGUGCUGCUAAUGAUCAGAUUCGUCCUCCUGGACUUGGAGAUGUCGGAGGAGACGGUUAUGCUAGACAUUCACCAAGCUAUCAUGGAUCUCAAGUCUAUGGUGGAACAACACAUAGGGAUGCUGAAUCACCUGUGUAUCAAAACGAUGCGGAGGAAGAAAUGAUCAGAGCUGCCAUUGAGGCUUCAAAGAAAGACUUUCAAGAGGGUCGUGACAAUGUAUAGUGUUAUAGCUUUCACCGUCUCUAGAUCCUGAAUUGAAUGAGCCUAGCCUCGCUUAUUUUUAAAAUGUUUUUUUUUUGCAGGUUCCAUCUAGCGUUUUGUCUUCAAGAGAGGCUAUUAACAAGGAAGACGAGGACAUUGCCCGUGCGAUUUCUAUGUCGAUAGAGGUAUUUGGAUAGAUAUUUUGCUUCUGCUACGUACCUGACGAUGUAGGUGAUGUCUCACAUUAGCAACAAUUUUGCUUUCAGAUGGAAGAGCAAGAGAGUGUAAUGCGAGAGCAACUAGCUGAACUUAUGCCUCGCUCCGUUGAGCCGUCUAAUACAAAUGAAAGUAGCAGAUAUAACGUAUGAAACUGAAUUUAUCAUCUCCUCUAGUUACAUACUAAGUUACUUUUUGAUGUAAUGUGUUGAGACUCUUUAAGCUAUCUUGCUAACUAGAACCAUUGUACUUUGAAGCCGGGGAGCUCUACAUUGCAAGACAAGCGUGAAGAUAUUAAACAAAAGCAGCCAAUUGAUGUUAGCUCUCAGCACGGACAUGAAGCUUCUUAUCCUGAAGAGGUAAUUAUUCAAAAAGAGUUUGAUUUCUCUUAUCAGUGAUAGUAGCAAAUUUUCUAUACUUAAUGGGUACUUUCUACCCGAAAUAACCGAAACCGGGAAAAAAUAGGUUCGAAGACUAUAAUAAAAACACGUACCAAGUCAAAAACAUCGAGAUAUCCAUACCAGAAAAGCAAAAACUACACACAAGUUCAAAUUCAACCACAAUAAAAAAAACUAGAUCUCGAUCCACACAACCGCGCGGUGUUUAGUUUCAUUUAUUUUUAUAUAUAAACAUUUUGUUAUCAAUUCUACAUUGGUAUAUAUUAGUAUAAUUUUAUCGUGUAUUUUUAAAACAUAAUAAUUUUAUCGUAUAUUUUUUUAUUGAAUUGGUUGUUUCCGAAUCACGUUUUUUUUCUCGGAAAAAUUGAUAAUUAUUUAGUUCUUAUAAUAUAGUAGACAUAUUAUUUAGUUCCUAUAAUCUAGAAAGUGAGUUGUUUAGAUCUAUAAUAAUGAUAAUAUUAGAAAUUAAAUGUAACAUGACUUUUUAAUUUCUAGUAAUGGGUCCAUUAGGUCUAUUUUUUAAAAAAAUCACACAUUAGUCAAAGUUGUGAUUUCUCUUUUAAUAUAUAAGAAGUAAAUACCAAAUUCUUAAACAUAAAAAGGCGAAAUUAAAACAGCAACAGCCAACAUAAAAAGCAAAGAAUUUCUGUUUUUAAAAUAAAAUUUGAAAUGAUGAUAAGAUUGUCAAUUAACGUUUUAGUAAAAUCUAUUUGAGUUGUUUUGGCUUUUUGAUGCUAUUUUGAGAAUAAAAUUAAUAAAUACCUUUCUUUGUUGCAAUUAGGAAAUUAGGCUUUGCAAUAUAAAAGUACCGUUAGAUACUUGGAUAAAUAUAAUACGUAAUGUAGGUUGAUAAUUGUCUCAUACUUCAAACCAUUUAAAAAACAUACCAGUUUUUUUUUUAAUCAAAAGUGUUAUUAAUGGGUAUCAGCUUUAACCAAAGAAUCCUACCAAAAAAAAAAAAAAGCUUUAACCAAAGAAAAUUAAGGCUUCGAAUGGUAAAAACAGUUCAAACAGGACAUAUCAAACAGAUCAUGCAGAUCAAGCAGGACAAGUGCAGAUCAAGCGGGACAAGUACAGAUCAAGCGGAUCAUGCAGAAGAGAACCAGAUCAAAUAAUUUAUUAUAACUUAUGAAUGACAAAAUCAGUUCAAAACUAUAGAUCAUAUAUUAAAACAAUAAAAAUGACACUUAGAUAUCUAAACAAAUAUCUUAGAUGUUAUAGGAUUGGCCGAAAUGCCUGUAAAUGUUUUAUAAGAUACUUAUACUUCUUUUAUUUUCUUAUUUAUAAAAAUUAAAAAUUAUAUGACAAAUAAUAAGUAGAGAAUGAUAAUUUUGUAUUGUUAAAGUUGUAAAUAAAAUAAAAUAAAAAUAUUUUAUUCAUAAAACUAGAUAAAUAUAUUUUUAAAGUUAAGUGUUGUAACAAAGUUAUUUAUUGACCAAACCAAAAAAAAAGCAGAUCAACACCACCAAAUGUUGGCGGGUGAGAUAUAUGCAUGCAGAUCUCCUGCUUUUUCUACAAGAAGACAAAAAAUAUUGAACUGCAUGCAGAUCUCCCGCUUGAACUACUUUUGCAAACAGAAAAAAAUGAAUAGUGAUUACAGUGCGGAAAAACUGCAUGUGCAGGAGAACUGCACUUGUCCCGCUCCUCAAUUCGGACACUAAAAGCAGAAAUAAAUUUUACUAAAAAAGCAGGGAGGGAAGGCUUGACUUUUUUUUUGUCAUCUUAUUUUGAUUAAUAGUGUAAAACAAAGAAUGUCAAAUUUAAAAGUUUAUCUUAUAUGGAAAAGGUAUUUUGUUUAAUUCAUAAAAUUUCAUUUAUAAUUGUAAAAGUAAUUGGAUAAGAAAAUGAGGUAAAGUUGUGGGAAUUAUUGAGAAAAAAACAUAUAUAAGUGUUGGAUGGUGUAAAUAGAUGGCAACGUGUCAGAGAAAGUAAAAUAAAGAAAAAAGUAAUUAAACGUCACUUUGGUGUAGACUCAUCAGCGUCGGUUCGAAUCAGUUGAACCAAUCUUGAAACUUACCAAUCAAACACACUAUUAGAACGCCGCUUUGCUUCCAUAAUCACCGGUUCGACUCUGUUCUCCGAUGAUGAGACCGUCGAGAGACGCCAUUCAGUCUUACAUGAGCAUCACCGGCGCCGACGAGUCACUCGCCAUUCAGAGUCUUGAGGUUCCUCCUCCUUUUCUUUUCUGCAUUGAUUUCGUUUUCGGAUAGAUUUGAAAUGAGUUUAGUGUUUUCAGCUAAUUCACUGAGCAGCAUCGUAUAGGAUCUAUCAGUGUAGAUCCACUAAUCGGUAAUGUAAACUUUUUGAUCAGGAACAUAGCAAUAAUCUCACUGAAGCCAUCAAUGCUCACUUCAGGGAUGUGGAGAGAAGCAUGUAUGUUGUUAUCUUCUUUGAUUUUUGUUCUCUUCUUCUUCAUUGUAUAAUAAACGCUCUUUCUUUAUUUGGUCUUUAUCCUUCCAGUCUUGAUCCAAGCUCAGACACUCGUCCACAAUACAAUGCUGUGGAAGAUAACAGUCAUCAUGUUCGUAGUGGUGGUGCUGGUAGCGAGUCUAGGCCAGUUCCAGGCGGACUUCCAUCUCUCCUCUCUGCUGCUCGCUCUUUUAGACCCUCGUUGCUUCUAGAUCCCAACUACAGGAGAAGUCUGCUUAGGCAGCUCAGUGGCUCUGCUUCUUCUCCUCCUCCAUCAUCUCACACGGGAGAAGUCACAGGGUUCCCUGCUAGCUCUACCUGGGGUGCUGCUAAUGAUCAGAUUCGUCCUCCUGGACUUGGAGAUGUCGGAGGAGACGGUUAUGCUAGACAUUCACCUAGCUACGGAUCCCAAGUCUAUGGUGGAACAACACAUAGGGA